AACGCACAUUGCGCCCGCCAGUAUUCUGGCGGGCAUGCCUGUUCGAGCGUCAUUUCAACCAUCAAGCCCCCGGCUUGUGUUGGGGACCUGCGGCUGCCGCAGGCCCUGAAAGACAGUGGCGGUCUCGCUGUAGCACCGAGCGUAGUAACUAAAACCUCGCUAAGGCUGCUCUGCGGGCUCCGGCCGUAAAACCCCCUUCUUAACACAAGGUUGACCUCGGAUCAGGUAGGAAUACCCGCUGAACUUAA
rnacentral:misc_RNA from 1 species